rnacentral:rRNA from 1 species
CCUACGGGAGACAGCAGUGAGGAAUAUUGGUCAAUGGGCGAGAGCCUGAACCAGCCAAGUCGCGUGAAGGAUGACGGCCCUACGGGUUGUAAACUUCUUUUGUCAGGGAGCAAGUGGGUCCACGCGUGGGCUUAGCGAGAGGAACUGAAGAAAAAGCAGCGGCCAACUCCGUGCCAGCAGCCGCGGUAAUACGGCGGAUUCGAGCGUUAUCAGGAUUUAUUGGGUUUAAAGGGUGCGUAGGCGGAAUGUCAAUUCAGAGGUAAAAAUUCGGGGCUCAACCCCGUCGUGCCGUUGAAACUGGUGUUCUUGCGUGGGCGCGCAGUAUGCCGCAUGCGUGGUGUAGCGGUGA